GUGCCAGCAGCCGCGGUAAUACGGAGGGUGCAAGCGUUGUCCGGAAUCACUGGGUGUAAAGGGUGUGUAGGUGGGUCUGUAAGUCAGAGGUGAAAGCCUGCGGCUUAACCGUAGAAUUGCCUUUGAUACUGCAGAUCUUGAGUCCUGGAGAGGCCGCCGGAAUUCGUGGUGUAGCGGUGAAAUGCGUAGAUAUCACGAGGAACACCAGAGGCGUAGGCGGGUGGCUGGACAGGUACUGACACUGAGGCACGAAAGCGUGGGGAGCAAACAGGAUUAGAUACCCUGGUAGUCCACGCCGUAAACGAUGGAUGCUCGAUGCUGCGGCGUUUUUGCUGCAGUGUCCAAGCUAACGCAUUAAGCAUCCCACCUGGGGAGUACGCUCGCAAGAGUGAAACUCAAAGGAAUUGGCGGGG
rnacentral:rRNA from 1 species